AGCUCCAAUAGCGUAUAUUAAAGUUGUUGCAGUUAAAAAGCUCGUAGUUGGAUUUCUGGUGGGAGCGAUCGGUCUGACACUUUGUGUGAGUACUCGUAUUGUCUCCGGCCAUCCUUGGGCGGAGCCUGUCUGGCAUUAAGUUGUCGGGCAGGGGAUGCCCAUCGUUUACUGUGAAAAAAUUAGAGUGUUCAAAGCAGGCUUAUGCCGUUGAAUAUAUUAGCAUGGAAUAAUAAGAUAGGACCUCGGUACUAUUUUGUUGGUUUGUGUGCCAAGGUAAUGAUUAAUAGGGACAGUUGGGGGUAUUCGUAUUCAGUUGUCAGAGGUGAAAUUCUUGGAUUUACGGAAGACGAACUACUGCGAAAGCAUUUACCAAGGAUGUUUUCAUUA
rnacentral:rRNA from 1 species